GUAUAUAUUUAUCAUAUCAACGAUCCAAACAUUCUGAUUCUGUAGAGAUUGUGUAAUGACAUAGACCUGGAGACGCGAGGCAAAGCUGGCUUUUGAAAAAAGCGCAGCAGUCCUCAAUCAAUCUGGACGAUCAGCAACAAUUUGCCUCCAGGGUCUACAAUAAGUGCACAGUUGGGAGGAAUAAAGACGAGACCAAGUGUGCACAUGCUCCCUGGAGAGCCAGCAACAACCCGUUCAAGUUUAUUCGAUAAUGAUCCUUCCGCAGGUUCACCUACGGAAA
rnacentral:misc_RNA from 1 species